GCCCAAGCCCUCCUUUUUUGUUUUCACAAAAUCUACAAUCUCUCUCUCGCUCUUCUUCGACCGCCUCAAUCUCUCUGUCACACACUCCUCUCUCUCUCUCUCUACGAUUGUGAAUGCAGUCCUCUCUCCUCCGAUAACCUAGUAGCUCCGGCGCCGGAACUUCCGUCCGCCGUCAGCCGCCGCCUGAGAUUCCAAUUCCGCGCCUCCAUAGGGUUUCCCGUACGUGCUUCUGCGAUUCGAUUUGCCACGAUUCAAUUAGGGUUUUUCGUUUUGCUUUCUAAGAUUGCGGCGUCCACGCCAUGCCUCCGUCGCGUAGACGCGGAGCGAACAAGGCUAAGAACAAGGCGCAGUUGAGUCUCGGCGAUCUUGUCCUCGCCAAGGUCAAGGGUCACCCCUUUUGGCCUGCCAAGAUUAGCAAGCCUGAAGAUUGGGAGAAAGCCCCUGAUCCUAAGAAGUAUUUUGUCCAAUUUUUUGGAACAGAAGAGAUAGCUUUUGUUGCACCUGUAGAUAUUCAGGCAUUCACUAGUGAGGCAAAAAGUAAAAUAUCAGCUCGCUGUCAAGGCAAAACAAAGUAUUUUUCCCAAGCUGUUAAGGAAAUAUGUGAAGCAUUUGAUGAGUUACAGAAAAAGAAAUCAAAUGAUGUGAGGAUUGAUACUGAUAGAUCAGACCUUGGAUGUGAUGCUCCAUCUGUUGACGGGGUAGAGGAUGAUGGGGUUAAUGUCGAGAUAAAAGAUGAUAAGGGUGCAGUAGGUUCUGAUGGAGAUGCAGUUAAGGAAGAAGGCACAGGUGAUUUUGGCUCUAAGUUGGAGCGUUGUUCACAGAUACGAGGUGAAAAUGAUACUGAAGAUGUAGACCCAUCUACCUCUUGUGGAGCAAAGGAGAGUUCAUCUCCCGUCUUUUCUUCUGAGGAAAAUAAUAAAAUGUCCUCAGUUGUUCACCCUAAGGUACCAAAGACAUCCAAUUCUUCCCAUUUGAAGAAAGAAGUUUCUGAUUAUAAGUAUGAAGAUGAUGAUAUUCGCACCAAGAAACAUGGUGAGGGACAGAGGUCAUUAGUAAAUGGUCACAAGAUGACAAAGAUGGGUAGUGGAUCAAAGAGGAGAAGUGAUGGCAUGGUUGAAGUACACAAGGGCAGCUCUUUAACGUCAUUGAAGGAAGAUGGCUCUGUUGGUUGUGUUGAUCGCCCACAAUCUGGUGAGCGAUUGAGAGAUGGAACAACAGGCAAAACUAUCUCUGGUGGCAAUAAAAGAAAACUAUCCCCAGAUUCGCUUAAACCUGAAACUGGAAUCAGGGAUGGGAAAAGGACGAAAGACCUGCUUAAAGCCAAAAGGCAUGUCAAAGUCCUAGAUGAGGCAAAGGACUCUGUGGAUGAUCUUGAAGCCCAGGCCAGAGAUAGACUCUCUGGAAGAACAAAGAAUGCACAAGUUGGGCGUGGAAAGCCUGAUUUGGGAGCAAAUGAUAUUUCACAUCUGUCCAAAAAGUCAAAGCAUGUAGAUGCAGGUGAAAAUACCCGGCGGGGUUCAUUCUCAAAAAGUCCUCCGAGUUCUGAUGUUGCUGAUCAGAAGACGGUUAAAAAAUUAGAUUCAAAAAUGUCUACUUCACGUGGUAAACCAGAGAACAAUCUGGUAUCCAAAUCCCAAAAUGUCAACGCUUCUGGUGAUGAAGCUGUUCUACCCCUAGCAAAGCGUCGUCGUCGAGCGAUGGAAGCUAUGUCUGAUUCUGACACUUUGGUUUCUGAUGAGAAAAUGGAAAAGGCUCCUGUUCAGAAGAAUAAUAUAGCACGGUCUAGUGAUGUCAAAGUUUCAGCAACUCAGACACAGAGAAAACGUAGGGCUGUAUGCCUUUAUGAUGAUGAGGAGGAGGAAGAAAAACCCAAAACACCCGUUCAUGGAGGCUCUUCCCGAAAUGUUAAAGCACCUUCAAAUUCAGAUGCUAUAAAGAGCACUGGUGAAAAUAUUGAGAGUUCUGAUACUGCUCUACACAGUACAAAACAUGCUACUGAAGUUCAUGGCAGCCAUACAAAGGAAUCAUCUUCCCAGCUGAAGAAUGGGUCUCUGUCACCUAGCAAACCUGCAGUAGAUGAGAAGAGGUCUCAAAAGCAAACUCAAACUGAUGAAAAGAGGCUUGAAAAGGCAGUGCACAUCUACCGGAGUCCACCAAAAUUAGAACCUGACCAGCAGGUGUCCAAAGAGUCAAAACCAACCUUGACUUCUCCUAAGAAGUCUCCUAUGUUGGCUACUGCUACUAAACCUGCAGUUGAACAACAAAAAGCCACAAAAGCUCCGGUUAAAGGCUCUAAUACUGCAACUCAGAAAAAGGGUCAGGCUGCAUCUGGCAACAGUUCGAGAACAGUUUCUAAUAGUUUGGUUUCUUCUCAAAAACCUAAACCUACUGCAAGACCAAUCUCCCGGAUCAAUGACUCCGCUAUUUUACAGGAAAAUACCAUAGAGUACAAUUUGUUACCCGCGGAAAGAAUGGAAGUUGGAAAAGAAGAUAAAAGUGCCUUAUUGGUUGAUUCUAAGACUCUGGAAUGUUCUUCGUCUAUGAAGCAUCUAAUUGCAGUUGCACAAGCAAAAAGGAAACAAACGCAGUCGCAUAACUACUUCUUUGAAAUUUCCAGUUCUGCUUUUUUAUCUGGCACAGAUGGGACGUGCCCCAGUCCUUUGGCAGUUCAGGGUCUUUAUCCCAUUAGCAACAGUGCAUUGCAGGCAGAUAUUCCAGGAUCUAUUCAACCCACAAACAUAGCUUCUCCAUCUACUCAUAGUCGCCCUUCUGCAUUACAAAAUCAACUAGACAUCGAGGACAUUUCAGAAAGAAGAGUUAGUUCUGGGCAUCAGACAGCUGGAGGAUCACUAAGUGGUGGUACCGAGGCAGCUGUUGCUCGUGAUGCUUUUGAAGGAAUGAUAGAAACUUUGUCAAGGACCAAGGAAAGUAUUAGUCGGGCAACUCGCUGUGCCCUUGAUUGUGCCAAGUAUGGUAUAGCUAACGAGGUUGUGGAACUGCUUAUCCGAAAGCUGGAGAGUGAGCCUAGUUUUCAUCGUAAAGUCGACCUGUUCUUUCUUGUGGACUCCAUCACACAAAUCUCACAUACUCAAAAAGGUAUUGCUGGAGCUUCAUAUGUUCCAACUGUUCAAGCAGCAUUGCCACGGCUUCUAGGUGCUGCUGCUCCACCUGGUUCUGGUGCUCGUGAGAAUCGUCGUCAGUGUCAUAAGGUUUUACGGCUCUGGCUUGAGAGGAAAAUUUUUCCACAAGCAGUUCUUCGUCGGUACAUGGAUGACAUUGGAGUUUCAAAUGAUGAUACAACUGCAGGUUUCUCUCUUAGACGUCCAUCUCGAUCAGAGCGUGCUAUUGAUGAUCCAAUCAGGGAAAUGGAAGGAAUGUUUGUGGAUGAGUAUGGCAGCAAUGCUACAUUUCAGUUGCCCGGAUUUUUAUCUUCUCAUGCAUUUGAAGAUGAUGAUGAUGAAGAAGAAGAAGAAGUUCCAAGCUGUUCAUAUAAGGAGGCUAGUCAUCCAUCACCGGUAGAAACUACCCAUGCCUCUGGGGAGUCAGAAACCUGUGCUGUUACUCCAAAUGAUAGGCGGCAUUGCAUCUUAGAGGAUGUGGACGGUGAGCUUGAAAUGGAAGACGUUUCUGGACACCCGAAGGAUGAAAGACCGUCAUCUGUUAAUGGUUCUUUUGAAAUGGAUCCACCACAGCAAGGGCCACAUAGGGUCAUGGAACCAGCUUUAAAUGCUUGCACUGACUUGCCCCCACUUCCAGAGGGUUCCCCACCUUUGCCUCUUGAUUCUCCUCCUCCACCCCCUCCUUUGCCUCCCUCACCACCACCACCACCUCCCCCACUAUCUCCAUCACCGCCACCACCACCUCCGCCUCCCCCCUCACAGCCUCCUCCUCCUCUACCACUAUCAGGUCCUCCACAUUUGUUGAUUCCUCAGUCAUCUAGACCAACCCAGCCUUCAUUAGUAGCCCAACAGAUGCUGCCGCCUCAAUCAUCAAUCCAUUCUUCACCACAGUUGGCAUAUCAACCUUCUGUACCUCAUGAAUACUGCAGCACUAGUGGCAACCAACUAGUCCAAAUGACUGGGAAUGCUCCUCAUGGGGGUGCUAUUGAUUCUGCCGUGAAAACCGAAAUGUUUCCACAGCAGCAAGCUUGCUUUGUCCCAGCAGGAGUAUGUGGCCCUCGAGAACCUUCUGGAUUUAAUUCUACGAGGCAAGUAGAGCAUGGACACAGUGACAUUUUCAUAAACACACAAGUCUCUCAACCAAACCAACAAUUUCAACAAGGUAAUGCACCUUUUGCUCCUAGACCUUUACCUCCAGCCCCGCCACAAAAUCCAUCCAGUCACUUCUCCUAUGCAAAGCCCCCAGUUCAACAACAUCCCCAGCAUCCGUACCGCCCCCCAUACCCUUUGCCACCCGUUCCUGAUAAUCAGAGACGAUUUGUUGCUGAUGAACAACGGGGUGUCUGGAUAAAUGGUGGGAGGCCUCCACACCCAGGACCACCAUUUGGCCAUGAAGCAGGUUUUUUUCGGCCACCAGUUGAGAGGCCACCAGCAAAUAAUAUGAGUUUUCAACGUCCUGCUCCUAAUAAUGUACCCUCUGGAGCUCCAAUAUCAGGUCAUAGUGCUGCUCAGAUCUUGCCGUGUAGGCCUGAUAUUUCUGCUGUUAAUUGUUGGAGACCAGCUUAAUGUUCACUUUGCCCUGAUUAAAUAUUCUUCUCUGAGGUUGGUGAAUCAACUAGUGACAUCGCAUUAUGCUACGCUUCUAAGUUGGAGUGAUCUGGUGUACAGAACCUCAAGUACUUGAAGGCAGUGUUGAGAACUUGUGGAGGCUCUUGACAGGACUGUGUAUAUUGUAAUUUUUCCUGACAAAUGUAUCCCGAGAACAUUUGCUUCCAAGUGUAUGCCCAUAUUUCUUUCUUGGUUGCGGAAAAAGAUUAAAGACAUAUAGCAGCCACUUUCUUGGGGUCACUCACAAAGAAAAAUAUUCUAACUUCAUGGCAGAUACACUGCUGUAAAACAUUCAGUCUAGGUUUUGGCGGGCACCAAUGGCGAGCAUUGAAAAAUAUGGAGGGCGGAGAAUGAGAACCAUCCAUAUGGCGGCAAAGUCAGACUAAUGGGUGCCGAUUACUGUCGCCAUUGACGGAGUUCAGAUGAAGGCCUGAUGGUGAUGCAGCGCUGAGUUAAGAAAACGGAGAUCCGCCUGGCGGGUCUGGAAUAAAAAUGGCUCUCUCUCUCUCUCUGGCCUUGGAUUCAAACGAAGCCAUUCUGCCAGGUGUGAUCCGAUUUCAGAGCACCGCCAAAGGAGAUGAUCAAGACUUGACAGGUUGAAGAGGAGUAUAAGAUGGGAGACGUUAAUUCAUGAACAUGUUUAACUGGGCAACUGCUUUACUAGAGACAUUUCACCAGAUUGACAGCAACUCCUUCCUCCCUAAACUUUUGAAACCAGCCGGACAACCUUCAAAUGUAUAAUAUAAAACAUUGCAUGUAUAUGAAACAUCUCCCUCCUCAACUGUUCCAUUGCUCAACAACUCGAUUAUGUGCCGUUGUAAACUUGUAUUAUGUGCUUUAAAAUGAUCUUAGAGAAAUCUUGUCAAA